CCUACGGGGGGCUGCAGUGGGGAAUAUUGCGCAAUGGGGGAAACCCUGACGCAGCAACGCCGCGUGAGUGAUGAAGGUUUUCGGAUUGUAAAGCUCUGUCUUCUGGGACGAUAAUGACGGUACCAGAGGAGGAAGCCACGGCUAACUACGUGCCAGCAGCCGCGGUAAUACGUAGGUGGCAAGCGUUGUCCGGAUUUACUGGGCGUAAAGGGUGCGUAGGCGGAUAUCUAAGUCAGAUGUGAAAUCCCCGGGCUUAACUUGGGGGCUGCAUUUGAAACUGGAUAUCUAGAGUGCAGGAGAGGAGAAUGGAAUUCCUAGUGUAGCGGUGAAAUGCGUAGAUAUUAGGAAGAACACCAGUGGCGAAGGCGAUUCUCUGGACUGUAACUGACGCUGAGGCACGAAAGCGUGGGUAGCAAACAGGAUUAGAUACCCGUGUAGUC
rnacentral:rRNA from 1 species